GCGGCGCGGCCUCUUGCUCCGGGGCGACCGAGGACGGUGGAGCCCUCGGCGCCUGCGGGAGCCCCGUGCCCGGACCCAGGCCGGCGAUGAGGGCACUUCCCCGGCGUGCGCCGGCAGGCCCGAGCCUCUGCCGGGGCCAGGCGGGCACUGAAGGCAGAAGUAGGGGGCUGAGCCUUGAGGAGACCUGAAGUUAAGGCUGCAGCUGACAGUGAAGAGGUGUGUGAUGUGGGCAGUUGUCUGGUUUGCUCCACCAUGCCUGAAUCUCUAGCAAAUAGUGGGCACUGAAGGCAGAAGUGGGUUGAGCCUUUGGGAGACCUGAAGUUAAAGCUGCAGCUGACAUUGCAGAGGUGUGGAUGAGGACAUAGUCUGGUUUACUCCAACAUGUGUGCCCCUUUGUCAGGGGAGAAUGGUUAAGAUUUAUAAAGAUUUGUCCUGGGUCCUGCUGGAGUUUGAGUGUUCUGCUUAAGAAGAUGGAUGGUUCUGCUGCUCCCAUGCUGCUGCCUGGGAUACUCAUUCAAACCACAGCACUCCCAUACCCUGCAAUAGCUCUGACCUCGAAGCUGUCAGGAGUGAUGAAUUUGUGUAUUGCCAGCUUAGGUGGAGGGUGUAACAUUUUCUGUUCCCUGAGUACAAGGCAUGUAACUGGAAUGGGUUCUGGAAGUUGCUGCAUGUUUAAUGCAGUUAGGAGCUUUUGUCUGCAGGGGCUGCAUUCCCUGCCUGGCAGCUCAUAUUGUCCUGCCACAGUCAUGCAAGGCAAGGAAGCCUUUCCUGGGAGCAGCUGUUAGGUAUUGGGAGGAUGGCCUUGUGUGAAAGGGAGUCAGGACUUGGUUCUCCCCUGCCAUCCAGAAAGCUGCAGUGGUGUAUCCGUGGCAGCCUGUGAAGUGGGCAAGGGGUGUCUGGGAUGCUGCAGCACAGUGUUUCUGUACUGUUGGAAGCCUGGUUUUAAUAAAAUCUUGAGUAAUGGG